CAGGAACAUUUCUACAGGGGUUAUUUAAGGCACUUUCAACUUACAGAGACUGUUUCUUGUUGUUUUCUCUCUGCCUACACUGAUGUGAUGAGAAGGAAUGUGCAUCCUGCAGGAGCAGGGAGCGACCCCUUUGGAAGUACAGAUCCUUCCUACUUCUGCUCUGAGAGUCAACAAAAAUUGUCUGGGUUUUGGAAAUCCUCUGGCUGCCUGAUGUGCCACAGGUGUACUUCAAGUUUUUGAAAACCAUUUUUGGCUUCUCACAAAGAUGCGAACAGUGGAUCUCCACUUUCAGAGUCAGAACACGUAGGAGCACUUUUGAAGUGAUGUUGAUCUCUUGCCAUUAUUUCAAGUCCUUUUAACAACUCCAUUGCCAUAAUCUUUGACUAUUACCAUGGCUGCUUAGAAAGAAUAAUCUUUGAUUAAAUUACAUCAUUAACCUGCAGCACUCCAAACCAUGUAAGAUUACAGGAGACGGAGCAAGGAAGAGAAUAAAAAACACAUUCCCAAAAGACUCUGACAAAUGCCUAUGUGUCCAUGCCUUAGGCAAAUUCUACACUUACUAAAACAAUUGCAAAAUUAAAACUUUCCUUCUCUAACUGAAAUACUUUACAUUAAUCAGCACAAAGUCUUUGGGGUGCAUGUGCAAAGAAAAGAGUACCAUGCUUAAAGAUAGUAAAAAUAAAGUAGAUAUUAUAUGUUAUUUGCUACCGUAGCUCUUUAAUACUAAAAGAAUGGGUAUAAUAGAACAAUACUAUAUGAAAAUUAGGGUAAUGGGAAGUAAGUUGUUUGUAUCAUUGUGUUUAUUCUAAUUAAUAUCAGGACACCACAGCUCAACCUGGAAAAGACAACUUACUCUUCUCACUAUUGCUAUAUUAGCAGCUGAUUGGAAA